rnacentral:rRNA from 1 species
CCUACGAGUGACUGCAGUGAGGAAUAUUGGUCAAUGGGCGAGAGCCUGAACCAGCCAAGUCGCGUGAGGGAGUACUGCCCUAUGGGUUGUAAACCUCUUUUGUCGGGGAGCAAAAGCCGGACGUGUCCGGCUGUUAGAGUACCCGAAGAAAAUGCAUAAGCUAACUCCGUGACAGCAGCCGCGGUAAUACGGGGGAUGCGAGCGUUAUCCAGAUUUUUUGGUGUUAAAGGGUGAGCAGGCGGAUUUUUAAAUCAGCGGUAAAAUCGUGGGGCUCAAACCCAUCCCGACGUUGAAACUGGGGAUCGAGAGUGUGAGAGAGGUAUGCGGAAUGCGUGGUGUAGCGGUGAAAUGCAUAGAUAUCAC